rnacentral:misc_RNA from 1 species
AGCAGCCGCGGUAAUUCCAGCUCCAAUAGCGUAUAUUAAAGUUGUUGCAGUUAAAAGCUCGUAGUUGAAUUUCGGGGUUAGCAGGUCGGUCGUGCCAUCGGUAUGAACUGGUCUCGCUGAUCCCUCCCUCUUGACGAACUGUGAUGCCAUUAAUUUGGUGUCGCAGGGAAUCAGGACUGUUACUUUGAAAAAUUGAGUGUUUAAAGCAGGCUCACGCUUGAAUACAUUAGCAUGGAAUAAUGAAAUAGGACGUUUGAUCCUAUUUUGUUGGCUUCUAGGAUUGACGUAAUGAUUAAUAGGGAUAGUUGGGGGCAUUAGUAUUCAAUUGUCAGAGGUGAAAUUCUUGGAUUUAUUGAAGACUAACUACUGCGAAAGCAUUUGCCAAGGAUGUUUUCAUUAAUCAAGAACGAAAGUUAGGGAUCGAAGACGAUCAGAUACCGUCGUAGUCUUAACCAUAAACUAUGCCGACUAGGGAUCGGAUGAUGUUAAUUUUUAAUGG